CCACCGAGACAGGACUCGGGUGGUGCCCAACAUUCCUUCUAGAAGGUGAACUUGUCUCCUGGGUCUCAGGCGGGCACACCCUGAGAAAGAAUGAGAAAGCGUGGGGCAGCCCCGCUCCUCCCCGGCGUCUUCAGAGAGACAAGCCUUUACUUGGUUCUACAAGUAACUGCUAUGAGGGGAGAAAAACGUCACCGACGCCGAAAUCACUCACCGAGGCUUCCAGAGCCGGCAAGGAGGGGCGGGCAGGUGGCAGGGGCCACUCGGAGACCGGCAGAGAGGGAACUUUGACAAGCCUGAAGAGUGGGUGGUUUGGUGAACCGGGGAAGAGAGUUACUGCAGCACAGCCUGCUCAUCCACACUAAUGGAGCUCCUGCCUUAGUCAUUUAAAGACUCCAGGCAAACAGUUCCAGGCCCUACUUCAUCCAGCGCUCCAUGGGGGUGGCGUCCCACAGCCUCAACCCUUCCCUGGGGAGAGAUGAGAACCCGGAGGGCCUCAGCAAGGUCCAGGAGGUGGGACGUGGCCAAGAGACGGUGCUGGGACAGCACGACUGCCCACAAACAGCCUGGACCCAGGAAGUUCCUUCACUCAUCAGACAUUAAUUGAGCACCUUCUGUGUGCAGGCGCAGUCCUAGACCCUGAGACAGAGCGCCUGGCUUAUAUUUCACUUGUCUUCAGACGACUUGUGUGCACAUGACCUUGCUCUGCCUAUGUUCCCACAAGUGUGUGCAUGAGAGAGAGAGAGAGAGAGAGAGAGAGGCAGAGAGAGACCUGUUUCAUUCUCCCUUUGUGCUGGUUUCUACAGUUUCCAACGGUCUUGGCCAAAAGUGUCCAAAGGGCAAAAAGGAGGGUCAGACCCUGAUGGGCUUCAUGACAAAGCAGGGUGUCCAUCUCACUGAGAAGGGUGGCCCAGACCCAACCACCCCCAGGGAUCCAUUGCCUGAGUACUGGGUUGAGGAUUCUAUCAUUGAUUGGUCAUGCCUGUCAUGAGUGCAGAAUCUGGGAGCAAUGAUAUGUUUGCUCUGCAUGUGCUGACCCUGCUCAGAAGUCUAACCUGAAGUAGCAUUUGAGGAAAAAUCAUGAGAGCAAAUGGACCAGCCCUUUACCUUUCUUAUCUCCAGUGUAGCUUGCAACACGUCCUGAGAUAAAACCUCACAUUGGUCCCACCCGUUGCCCAGGGCUACCUGAUGGCCUCAGACACCUGUGAGGACUCAAACUGGGCCCACAGUCACCAGCUGUGUGGCUGCUGCUCUCACCCUCUGGCUGCCAGCUCCGGGCGGCCUGCUCACAGUCUGCAAAGCUUGCUGGGAACGUAGUGCAUUUAGUUAAUUAAUCAUCUGAGUAAGUCUUGGAAGGAACAGAAGCUGGGACAUGCGUCCCAUCCAAAAGCAAGGCCCAGGGCUCCUUCUCAAAGGAGGUGAGCCCCCUCUCAUGCUGAACAGCUUGUGGAUCCUGACACACCAGCCUCUUUGCCUUCACCUGGGAGGUCCCUCUGCCUGGAAUGCUUUUCCUCGCCUGGUCGGCCAGGAAAACUCGUGGCUCCGCAGCACUCGGAGCAAAGCCUGCUGCCCCAUCUGGCCCACUCUUCUCAGAGUUACCGCGGCCUCUUGGGCAGUCGUGGGCUUUGCCCGGAACACACCGUGUGGUGGACAACCUGCGUGCUGGGGUCUCUGUCCUCUGCUUGAUUCCAGGGUCGCAGAGGACUCCGCAGUCCAGACCAGGGCGUGGCACAGGACAGGCAUCCCCAAAGUACCCCAGAACGACUGCAUCUCACUUUUGUGCCAGCAGAGCUCACGUAAACAGCAGUUUGGUUCAUGUUGGUCCCCGAGGCCUAGGGUGCCCACUGAGGGCCUGAUGCCUGGUUCACCCUCAGUCCCUGGGUGCAGAAGAAAGGUCCUCUUAAGUUUAACAUUCAUUAUUAGACAUUUUUUUUAAGUGCCUGCCAUGCACAGGCGUCAACCAGGUGUUGGGAAUUCCUCAGAUGGCUGAGGCCCCUCUGGACCCCUCCUCAGCUGGUUAUAGGUCUGGGUGACAAGCAGGUUCACCCCCAGGCAACUCUGACACACGGGUGAUGGCCCCUGGAGACUGUGUGGGUAGGGCCGUGAGGCAGAAUGUGGCUGGGAACUGUGCUGCAACCCAUUAGUGAUGUCUGCCAGGCAUGUAGGUGUGGGAGCGGGCAACUGCGCGACCUACCUGUAGUUCCUAGGCCAGCAGAGCCGCUAAAACGCAAGAGCCGGUGCUGGGUGCCUUGCACGGCCCUCCCGACCAAGUCAGCAUUCUUCUCUCCAUUUUCAGAUAAGAAAGCAGAGCCUCAGGCCUCAUAGCCCCUCAGUGGCUGGGCUGUACUCUGAACCCAGACUCCCAGGCCCCCGUUUCCCACCCCUGCCAUGUCACCACACCUGCUCCCCUCUUGCGCUGGCUUCUGGGAGCUCAGAACAGAGAUUCAGGCUCGCUCUAGAAUGCCACAUUACCCCAGGGUUUGGGGCAUUUUGUCACCCCUCCUUGGGGCUCGUUAUCCUCCCUGCUGGGCCUCCUUGGAGCAGGCCGGACAUAAGUUAUCAACUAUAAA